CCCCCGAUGGUCUAGUUGGAUAUGGCGUCCGGCUGUAAUAGAAAUUAUUAUAGGAUUUACCUUGGUACCGGAAGGUCGCCGGCUCGAUUCCGGCUCGGGGGA
rfam:Aspergillus bombycis strain NRRL26010 contig00086, whole genome shotgun sequence.